rnacentral:rRNA from 1 species
GCAUAUCAAUAGCGGAGGAAAAGAAACUAACAAGGAUCCCCUAGUAACGGCGAGUGAAGCGGGAACAGCUCAAAUUUGAAACCUGGCGUCCUUCGGGCGUCCGGAUUGUAUUCUGGAGAAGCGUCUUCCACGCUGGUCCACGUAUAAGUGCCCUGGAACGGGCUGUCAUAGAGGGUGAGAAUCCCGUCCUUGACGUGGGCUACCAGUGUUUUUGUGAUGCGCUUUCUAAGAGUCGAGUUGUUUGGGAAUGCAGCUCAAAGUGGGUGGUAAAUUCCAUCUAAAGCUAAAUAUUGGCCUGAGACCGAUAGCGAACAAGUACCGUGAGGGAAAGAUGAAAAGCACUUUGAAAAGAGAGUCAAACAGUACGUGAAAUUGCUGAAAGGGAAACGCUUGAAGUCAGUCGCGCCUCCUGGGAUUCAGCCUUGCUUUUGCAAGGCGUACUUCCCAGGAGGCGGGCCAACAUCAGUUUCGACCGGCGGACAAAGGCCGGGGGAAUGUGGCUCCUCCGGGAGUGUUAUAGCCCCCGGUCACAUACGCCGGUCGGGACUGAGGAACGCAGCGCGCCCUCGUGGCAGGCCUUCGGGCACUUUCGCGCUUAGGAUGUUGGCAUAAUGGCUUUAAGCGACCCGUCUUGAAACACGGACCAAGGAGUCUAACAUAUCUGCGAGUAUUUGGGUGGCAAACCCGAGUGCGCAAUGAAAGUGAAUGCAGGUGGGAAGCGCAAGCUGCACCAUCGACCGGUCUGGAUUUUUAAUGAUGGAUCUGAGUAAGAGCAUAUAUGUUGGGACCCGAAAGAUGGUGAACUAUGCCUGAAUAGGGCGAAGCCAGAGGAAACUCUGGUGGGAGGCUCGUAGCGAUUCUGACGUGCAAAUCGAUCGUCAAAUUUGGGGUAUAGGGGGCGAAAGACUAAUCGAACCAUCUAGUAGCUGGUUCCUGCCGA